CACGCUGUAAACGAUGAGUAUUAAGUGUCGGACAUAAGUUCGGUGCUGCAGUUAACACAAUAAAUACUCCGCCUGGGGAGUACGGUCGCAAGACUGAAACUCAAAGGAAUUGACGGGGACUCGCACAAGCGGUGGAGCAUGCGGUUUAAUUCGAUGCAACGCGAAGAACCUUACCUGGUCUUGACAUCCUAGUGCUAGGUCUAGAGAUAGACCCUUCCUUCGGGACGCUAGAGACAGGUGG
rnacentral:rRNA from 1 species